CUGCCAUGACACACUGGUCUGUGUCUGGCUGACGAUCAAGUUUAAAGAAAAAAUAUACAUGUCUCGCAUGCAAGUUAGCUCACCUUCUAUACUGUUUGAUGGGAUGAUCAAAAUAACAACUGUCAAGACGACAGGUAAUAUGGAUAUCAUGGACGAUUUCUGUGCGAACUGAAUGCCGAGGCGCUGCACCCAACCAGCUGAAGACAUCACAUCCCGAUUUCCUAGAU